CUUGGCAUUAUGGACCUCAAACAUCUUCACAUGGUUCUAAUUUGCAGUCAAGAUUGAGAGCCACUGAUCUUUAACUAGAUUUUUAUUUUUUUUUAAGGAAUUGCAGCGGAUAUGGUGACUAGUUUGGGUUGGCAUGACUGGCAGGAAUUCUAUCAUGGACAAGGAAACAUUUUGUGCAGGGUCUCCCUACAAUUGCUGAGGCUGGCCUUGAACUUGUAAUCCUCCUGCUUUGGGUUCCUGAGUUACUAGGAUUACAGUUCUCGGCGGGCACAACAUCUUUGUUUGUAUGUGGUGCUGAGGAUCGAACCCGGGCCGCACGCAUGCCAGGUAAAUGGAUGGUCUUGGAGAAAAUAAUGCUAAGUGAAGUUAGCCAAUCACCCAAAAGCAAAUGCCGAAUGUUUUCUCUGAUAUAAGACACUGGCUCUUGUGGGUGGCAGCAGACCUGGACCUUUCAAGGUUACUCACAUAUACAAUUAUUGCUGCGAUGGCCAUGAAAUGGAUGAUCUAGUUACCACUCUGCGGUUCUCAAAAAGAAAAAGGUACCAUAAAUGAGACUAGGUGUAAAGAAACAAAAAGCACUCACCUGUUGCUUCUUCAUCAAAGCAAGCAAAAGCAUUUCUAAUGACAUCUUCGGGAUCUGUGCCAUUUAACUUCUCACCAAACAUGGUGAGGAACAUGGUGAAAUUGAUGGGUCCUGGAGCCUCAUUCAUCAUGGCAUCCAGGUAGGCAUCAGUGGGAUUCUUCCCUGCAAGAAUUCACAGUUGAACAUGUGAGGACAAAGAGCUAAUUUCAAUAAACAUUUUUCUAUUGUUAUGCUUCCCAA